rnacentral:tRNA from 1 species
GGGCUCGUAGCUCAGCGGCAGAGCGGUCGGCUCAUAACCGAUUGGUCGCAGGUUCGAAUCCUGCCGAGCCCAC